UAAAAAGCAAAGAAGAAGAGGAGUAAAGAUAUAGGAGUAUUAUAAAGAGAGGAAAACUCGUAGGCUGAAAAGUUUUCCAUACGAAUUAUCUUGAAGGUAGCUUUGGAGCUUCUUUAUCGAAAUAGGAGUAGAUAAAGACGGUGGAUCACAUCGUUAAUUUAAUGAGUGCUUGAAUAUUUAAAUGUUUCAAGAAUUAAGGUGGUAACGCGCACUGUCGUCCUUUAG
rnacentral:ncRNA from 1 species